CACGUAGGGCGCAAGCGUUGUCCGGAAUUAUUGGGCGUAAAGAGCUCGUAGGUGGUUUGUCGCGUUGUUCGUGAAAUCUCACGGCUUAACUGUGAGCGUGCGGGCGAUACGGGCAGACUAGAGUACUGCAGGGGAGACUGGAAUUCCUGGUGUAGCGGUGGAAUGCGCAGAUAUCAGGAGGAACACCGGUGGCGAAGGCGGGUCUCUGGGCAGUAACUGACGCUGAGGAGCGAAAGCGUGGGGAGCGAACAGG
rnacentral:rRNA from 1 species